rnacentral:rRNA from 1 species
UACGGAGGGUGCAAGCGUUAUCCGGAUUCACUGGGUUUAAAGGGUGCGUAGGCGGUUUAGAAAGUCCGUUGUGAAAUCUCUGAGCUUAACUCGGAAAUUGCGGUGGAUACUAUUAGUCUUGAAUACUGUGGAGGUUAGCGGAAUAUGUCAUGUAGCGGUGAAAUGCAUAGAUAUGACAUAGAACACCAAUUGCGAAGGCAGCUGGCUACACAGAUAUUGACGCUGAGGCACGAAAGCGUGGGGAUCAAACAGG